rnacentral:lncRNA from 1 species
AUUUAAUAACUGGUUGAACCUCCUUUGGCAGCAAUAACUUCAACCAAGCGUUUACUGUAGUUGCAGAUCAGAUGUGCACAACGGUCAGGAGUAAUUCUUGACCAUUCCUCUUUACAGAACUGUUUCAGUUCAGCAAUAUUCUUGUGAUGUCUGGUGUAAAUCGCUUUCUUGAGGUCAUGCCCAGCAUCUCAAUCGGGUUGAGGUCAGGGCUCUGACUGGGCCACUUCAGAAGGCGUAUUUACUUCUGUUUAAGCCAUUCUGUUGUUGAUUUACUUCUAUGCUUUGGGUCAUUGUCCUGUUGCAACACCCAUCUUCUGUUGAGCUUCAGCUGGUAGACAGAUGGCCUUAAGUUCUCCUGCAAAAUGUCUU